rnacentral:lncRNA from 1 species
GAGAGAGAGAGAGAGAGAGAGAGAGAGAGAGAGAGAGAGAGAGCAGAUUGACAAGUAUUAACUCCUAUUUAUUACAGAUCCUUGGACCAUACAUAGAAUGCUCAUUUGUCAGUUCAGAAAUAAUGAACUGUAUGCCCCCCCACACAAACUCACUUUUUCAGAAAAAAAUAAAAAGAGAAGAAAUGGAAUAAAAAAAACUUAAGGCCUAUACACCAUUCUCUGUUCUCUUCCUUUUACAUAAUCUCAAACUGCUAGGAAGCCAAAUUACUCCAGAAAAAAACUUGGCUUCAAAUUUUCCCAAAGCACCCUGAGCUUGUUCCCUAAAAUGAAUCAAAACCAUGGACAGCGAACUAAUUAUUUAGCAAACAGACUGCUGCAAAAUUGUGUGUGGAAGGAAAGUUUACCUUCAUAGUAUCUGUUGGAGGCAAAACAAUUUUUAAUAUAUUUUAUAACAAUCCAGAUUAAAAUUUGAAUUUAAACUAAAAUUAGGUUUUGAAUUUAAAUCAUAAUGAAUACACAUUCUACCAAGUUUUAAAGAAAUGAUAGGCUACAUGUUCAUUUUUUUUGUCCUUUCUACAGGUAUAAAUUCCUUAUUCAACUAAAGGUCAUUUCUAUCUUUUGCUGCUCAUAAGUGACAAUUUUAAAUGCACAAAUUUUGUUGUGGACUAUUCUUUGUAAGAUUUAAAGCAAGUGAGACAGGGAAAAUUUACUAUUUUGCUUGGGAUUAGCUGCAUGACACUAGAGCAAAUUAAGUAGAUUUUUAUCAGUGACUAGGUUUCUAAAUGCAUAGAAUUGGAAAAAUUAAAUGCCACUUUGAUAGACAGGGAUAAUGUGAACGGAGAUAUGAUGCAGCUCCACCGUUUACCCUUGGACAGGCGUGGUAGCCCAUAACUAACAGUACAAUAGUUAGACAAACAUUUAUUUUUUUUCUCAAGAAACCAACAGACUUUCUCAUACAUAUUGAUACAGUUUAGGGCAAAGGAUUGAUUCUCUUUGGCUCUGUGUCAAAUAGCCAUGUUGUUUUGUGCAUAGGUUUAAUUACCUUAACCUUUUCAGAAAUAAACUUCAUCAAAAUUGUUUUGCUUUGGGUUAUAUAAUGCAUUUAAAACUGCUCAUUUAAAUUUCCUCUUUCAAUCCCCAUGACAUCUGACUUAUUUUGUUACACGUCUUCUUUGUGACCAGUGAAGGCCUGGAAGAUCAUAUGAAAUCAUAAAUAAAUUAAAAAAAUUAUUUAAACUUAAAAUUAGAACGAUGUUGACAUUUGCAAGAAAAUAAAUUAUUGAUCUUUAGCCAUCAUGCUUAACCAUAGAAUGAAACUGCAAGUCUUUGAAAUGUCCUCGUUUCUUAGCCGUGAUGAUAGAUAUAUUUUAGACACCCGUAUUGAAAAACAAACAAUCAAAGCAACACUUUCAGAGCAUUUGAGAAUAUUCAAUGACAUUGGAUGGUAUCUCGAUCGUCUCCAUGAUGGGAUUUUGUGGUUCUUGUAAUGGUGGUGCAGGGCUGGGUGGAAAGCAGACAUAGUUUGGAAGGGAGUCAUUGUUUAGGAAGGCAUCCCAUAGCGGUUGCAUUCGUGAGAUUAAGCACAAAUUUAGACCUUGGCCUGGGGAAAAAAUGAUUUUGGGUUUGAGAUAAGCCUUGGACACAGAAUUAAGAGGUGGUCCCUCAUCUGGAGCAUAGCUGUGUGUAGCCUGAGGUACUUAUUGUUCUUGCCCAAGCCCUUGGAUGCCAGAUCCUAGAUGAAGAAUGAGAGAGUAGUUCACUGUCUCCAUUUUAAGGAACGGAAACUAAGUGCGGUAUCUUGGAUUUGCUUUGAGUCAGCCUGGACCUUGACAGGGGUCUGGGGGGUGCAAGGGGAGGGCUAAGGAGACUUAGAAGCUAUGUCUUGGGGAGUUGUCUUGGGGCCAGCUUGUUGGAGCCCAGGAGAGUGUAGGCAAGGGCAAGGCAGUUGCCCUUUGCUUUGCCCAGGCUCGGCUCCAGGGGGUGCGCCUUCUGCGGCUCUUUGGUUUCAAGGACACAGCGAGCUGUUCAGGACUUUGGGAGCCAACAUCUGUCUGACUGGUGACGUCAGCAGCCCGUGUAAUCCUCUUGUGCUGAAGGCAGAUGCCUUAUUUGUUUGGCUGGAGCGAGCCAUUAAUCCCUAAUUCUGGAUCAGCAAGCGAGGGGGAAAGACCGGACCGCUACGAUCCACCCCCUCCCUACCCCCACCGCCCACCCUAAAGCACCUUAUACCGUGGAAGCCGCUCAGCCUCCUCUUUCCUCCGAGAACACACCGAGCAGCGCCUGAAAACGCUUUGGUCCUCUGCAGGGGAGCGUUCUGGGGUCUCUGCACAAAACCUGCUUUUGAGCUCUUUGGCUUCCUUCGAGCGAGUUGGAGCCCGUCCUUUCCCCUGGCCCACCCACCCGCAAGGGAUGCUGUGAAAAGAGCUGCUGCCCACCGCCUCCGGUCCGCUGUCCAGAGGGCUCCGCCCAUAGAGGUCAACUCCCCUCACUCUUCCUCUUUCCAGCUCGCCCUCCCUCCGCCGAGCCCAGACUCGGGUCUCCUGACUUUUGCCGCAGAGAGUGCACGUCUGCUGCGCUGCCCUUAACCUACGCCGGGAGCGGGCUCAGACCCGAUCUCUGCUCUCCAGGGCCAGAGGAAGCCCGAGCAAGCAGCCUUUUCUCCCCGCAGUAAAACCAUAGCCAGACCAGAUGCGCCCCAGCUCUCUCGGGACUCGGCAGGUGCUGUUGAGUUAAUUUUUCCGCCAUACAAAGAAGGAUGACCCAGCCCUCCCUGGGAUUCUGAUCUUUUCCCAAAAAUUCCCAACCAAAAUCAGGGUAUCAGAGGCAUAUUCGUGUGUUUGUCGGACAUACAAACACGCAUGUUUAUAUUCGAUUUUAUCUGCUAGAUUUCUUCUCUGACAGUAGGAGACUACUGACAAAGGUUUCUUCAGCGGAACACUCAUGGCGUGGUCUUUUAAGACUUUUCUUUCCUUACAAAUGUCUUAGGAAGGGAUUCAGGGCAAACCAACUCAGUUAAUUGCCUUUAGUAAAAUAACACGAUUAGGAAAUUAGAUCUGUACCAGAGGGGUAAUUAACUUCGAUCCACGUCAUCAUUUAAAAACUAGAUUAUAGACAUAUGUAUGGAUUUUAGGUGCGCUGCAAAUGGCAUGCAGAUGUAUGCAUAAGCAUACAGGCUCAUGCACCAUCUACUCUUCCACCACACAGACUAAUUAAGGGCAACUCUAGCAGAUGUGGCAGGAGGAAAGCUGAGCUGGGUGCACUGAGUUAAGACCCUGGGGGUAGGGACUUCAAGCUUGGAACUCCAGGGGAGGGUGAAGGGCAAAGAGGAAAGUGUGAUAGUUGCAAUGAGUCAGUUGCUUCUGGAUCAAGAUCAGAGACUCUGCCCUCCGUGUUCACAGCGGACCUUGAUUUAAUGUCAUACAAUUAAGGCACGCGGUGAAUGCCAAGAGCGGAGCCUACGGACUGCACUUGAAGGACAUCAGAGAGACUCAGGGUCAGGAAGGGUGCGGAGAAACAAUUGCAGGCCUCAUGAAGGGAGUUAGAAUGAACCCAUCCUGUGAGGCAUAAGGACCCCUCGCAUUGAUUCAGAUUCUUUAGAAUGCGAGACAGUCAUAUGUUUUUCAGCGAGAAUCCGGGAAACCCUCAUGCAUUUCCCCAAGGGGAAUAUUACAGGUUUCAUUGACAGCUGUCAGACAGCGGUAGCUCCUAUUGGUGCAAACGGUCUAGAGACCCUGCAUUCCGAAAGCUUUGGUCUUUUCAAAACAGAUUGAGAGCUUGUCCUCAAUCCUGGGCCAGGUUGGGAAAACAAAGUGUAUGAGGAGGUAUAGCCUCCAGACCACAUUGCGCAAAACCCUCAACUGACUCAAUCAUCUGUGGAAAUUGGAGCAUCCCGCCCCGGUAGCCCUUGACUUGUCGGGUUUUGAGAGACUAAGGCAAAGCCCUUGCAAUACCCAAAUCAGUCAAAGUUGUGAAAUAAGGGGAAAGACCAAGCUGGAAACUCGGGGACUUGGAAAAUUAAUUUAUUUGGAAGACCAUGGGGGUAGACCUAGUAGAUAGAUCCACUCCACAACCUUGGAGCCUAAGAAAACCAAGGCUAAGGAGAAAGCCUUGAUAGAAGUCUUUGUUCUGUAGUGGCCUGCCUGGCCUGGGAACAAAGGCGAGGCCGGGAAAAGAUGCACCAAAGUGGCCGCGCCCUCUGCGCCUUGCGCUGUCCGUGGUGCUGACCGGAUCCCCUUCUUCCUCCGCUACCCAUAAUUCUGCAAGUAAGGCAAUAGAAUUGCUUCUUCCCUCCCUAAAAAAAUCCAGGGUAUUAGGUAAUUUACAAAUUAAAAAUUGAGAUUCGUAAAGAUUGUAAACAUCUAAACGGAGUUUUACUGAAACCGUACACUCUGUUAUGACGAUCAGUUGAUUUGAGCUGAAACCGGAAUCCGAGUAGGGGACAAAACCUGCAAGAAAGAGAUGAAACAGAAGGAAAUUUUGUUUUGAUUUGUUUUGUUUUAAAUCAAAACCCUGAAAACAGAGACACAAGUUCUCAGUUGGGGAUCGUAGCGCGGAUGAGGUUACCAAAGGUAUCUCUCAAAUGACCCCAGAGUAUGCCUCAAGACAUAUUAGAGAGAAUAAAACUGGACUGAUGUGGUGACCAAGGCAAGCAGGAGUAAAGCAGCCUGCAACCACUGUAUAGGCUCUCAGCAUGGCUCUGAACAGGGUAGCCUCCCUAAGUGACUUCUGAGGCCAAGACCCACAAAGCAAUGCGUCCCUGAUGCUCUGGAGCUGGCAGACAGCAUCACCUCUCAAGGAGACACUGCAGGCCCAGAAGGCCUGACUCCCGCAGUGCGGGAAAGACCACAAUGCAGAACUCUCCUUCUCAUAGCUACCCUGGACCAGAGGUCCAGAGACAGACAAAAUUACCAAAUUCCAUAUAAUUAAGAUUUGCCUCAGGAAUUGUGGGUCAGACGUGUCUGAAGUAAUGCAUUCAAUAUGUAUUUAAAACAUCCAGCAUAUUUCAGCAUUCUAACUUAAACACUGAGAAUAUUGUAUAUAAACAAUAAAACAUUAAGUUCUACAGUCAUAUUUGCAAUGAAAAGAGAAAUAGGUAAUAAAUUGAUUUGUGUCCAGCCUAGGUUCAGAAAAAAAUGUUCCAUGCUUGAAUUUCUUUAUAGAUUCACACCAUAAAUGCUGCCAAGCAUUAUCCAUAGAUAAACUGAACCAGGUUGUACAAAAGAGACAGUGACAGCAAUUUUUUUGCAGGUAUAGAAUGGGCUAUAUAUGGACAGUGGCAUAAAAGAUAUGUUUUUAUGACAUUCUCUUAAAAACUGAAUGGCAGAAAUGUAUCCACUGACUCAGGAAAUAAAAGAGGUCAGAAACAAUAUCCUUGGUGGUCUAAUUCCUCGCUUCAUCCUGAAAGGUGGAUUUUAUUUGUCUUCUCAUUUUAAAAUCCUGUAAAUUAGCACUUUUAAAUGCACAAACUUUAGGUUUGUGUGUGAUUUCACACAAGAUGAGGGGACAGAGUUUGCAAACUGUGCUGGGAAAAGAGCUAUUUCAAACACAAAGAAGAUGGCUUUAGGAUGUUCCUCUUUUGUCAAUGAAAAACAGUCACCAGAAAUGGAAAUGGGCUUGAACCAUUGCAGGCUAUCGUAGAGGCUCCUAUUUCCUUCCGAUAUUCAUCCAGUUGUAUUGAUGGCCUCUAUCCACAGUCCGUUGAGCACUUCACAAAGCAAAAAGGGUCUAAGGCUUCAAAACAGUCCUAUUUGUGUUGUUUUAAUUCACAUUACAUAAUAACAACACACUAAUACUCCCUAACCUAAUCCUAUUUGUGUACGAUCAUCCUAAAUUCUGGUUUCAUAAAGCUUAAUUGGUUCAAAAAUAUAUUUUCUAAAUAGAAACAAAAUGUGUUACUAGAGAAUUAUAAAAGUAAGGGAACAAACACGUGAUUAAGUCAUCUGGUUACCAAGCGAAGUCCAGUGUGGUUAUUGAGUCAUAGUGUUUUUAUCCUUUUAAAACUAUUUAAUUUCAAUUUCUUAAAAAAUAAUCAUCUAGUUUAAUGUCCAUUACAAAAUUUUCUUGCUGUGAAAUUCUGUGCUCAGCGGUUUUCCAGAAAAACAACCCAGGUGGACAAUUAGCGAGCUUUGGUGCAAAGGACCAUGGGAGUCCUUCGGCAAUCACAACUUUCAUCUAGUGGUCUGAAAUGAGAGCUUCUCGGAAUAAUUUAGGAACAGCUUGACCCAUUGAGAUGCUCCUGGACAACCCUCUUGGGAAAUAGUUUCUUUCCUUCCAGGGAACAAGAUGCUAGCUCAGGGAACAGAGAGGUAUCUGGUGUCAACAAUGCCAGCGCGCCCUCUGCUGGGCCUCAAGAAACAGCACAUGUGGUUACAGAUGCCAGAUGGUACGAGUUUCAAUAAGCCCUUGAAACAUUAAGCUCUUAGGAUCAUUUAAUCUGUGGAAUUUAAAGGCUCCCAUCAUAUCCUCCGCCUGAAAGGCCACCCUAUUUUUAUUCUGAGAGCUCCUGGGAUGGCUAUCUUUUAUGCUAUAGGUACGAGAAGUCAUGUUUGAAGUUGACCGCUGUUGGUUGCUUUCUGUAUUCUUUUUGCAGUUCUUUUUACAGGAAAAUAUGAAAUUGUAAAUCUCAAGGAAAACAAUCUUUCUCCUCCUAGGCAUUUUAAUAUAAAAUAAUUUUCAUCUUUGAGCCCAUAUCUGAAAUUUAAUAAAGGUAGUUAUUUUUAUUUAGAAUAAAGAUACCAGGAACAAGGUGUUUACUUAAAGAAUUUCAAAACACAAAUAAGGUCUUAGAUAAAAAGCUAUUGUGUUGGUUUGUAUUAAUAUUAACUGCAAUUUUCGAAGACUACACUUUGGAAUAAGAAAGUAAGUUAUGUUUGAGGAAGAGGCUGAAAUGUUUGAGUCAUGUUAAUUAAUAUAUCCAGAAGUUCACCUUUGAAAUUUCCCUACUGAGUUAACAUCAGUCCUCAGGUGGCAAAGAUCCCAGAAACUAGACUACUGUGAGUAGAAUCACGAAGAAAGCAGAAAUGGAAGCACCAUGUGCAAACUUCUGAAUGUUUUCUGUGUUUUUCUGUAUGGAACAAUCUAUUAUAAAAUGAAAUGGAGGCUACUUCUAAAGCCUGUUUUUGAUUCCACAUCUUAUUGGCCUUAUAUUGAGUAAAAUAAUGUAUAGCUGUAUUAUCUCAUAACUGUGAGUUAGAAAUUCCAGCCUGUUGUACAACAGACACAUCUUUGCUGUAAAAGCUGUUACUAACUACAUCGGUGCUGAUAUAAUAAAAUGUUUCUAAUUAUAUGGUUGUUAAAUACGUCUUCUAAAAUAAAGUUCAGUUUAUUUUAUGAUGUCAGAAUGAAAUAGCUGUUUAAUAUCUUUCAUUUCAACACUAGAUUUUAAAUGAAAGCUCAUAAGACUAUCAUGAUGAAAUUUUAAGAAAAGCUAUCUGGUGUUACAAUUUGUUUUGGGGGGAACAACUCUUGAUUAAAUGUUAAACCAACUUAAAUAUUUAACCAAGUAUGUCAAAUUCCAUAUAGCAUAGGUAAGUCUCUCUUCUGAAAGCUGCUUAUUUGAAGCAAGCAUUACCAAUUUAUAGGAGAGUAAAUGAAGAAAAGAAAACUCUCACAAUUUCUAUAAUUUUAGUCUAAGCAUUAGAAAUGUGAAAUAUUUUAUUUUAUAUAAUUUAAAUUUCUU